GAUGAACGCUGGCGGCGUGCCUAAUACAUGCAAGUCGAGCGAACAGACGAGGAGCUUGCUCCUCUGACGUUAGCGGCGGACGGGUGAGUAACACGUGGAUAACCUACCUAUAAGACUGGGAUAACUUCGGGAGACCGGAGCUAAUACCGGAUAAUAUAUUGAACCGCAUGGUUCAAUAGUGAAAGACGGUUUUGCUGUCACUUAUAGAUGGAUCCGCGCCGCAUUAGCUAGUUGGUAAGGUAACGGCUUACCAAGGCAACGAUGCGUAGCCGACCUGAGAGGGUGAUCGGCCACCCUGGAACUGAGACACGGUCCAGACUCCUACGGGAGGCAGCAGUAGGGAAUCUUCCGCAAUGGGCGAAAGCCUGACGGAGCAACGCAGCGUGAGUGAUGAAGGUCUUCGGAUCGUAAAACUCUGUUAUUAGGGAAGAACAAAUGUGUAAGUAACUAUGCACGUCUUGACGGUACCUAAUCAGAAAGCCACGGCUAACUACGUG
rnacentral:rRNA from 1 species